ACAAUGAACAUGUGUAUAACUGCAUUUGAGAAUAAUAUGAUUCAAUGGCAAAUGAAUGCAAACUAUUUUGACCUGUGAGGCUUACUCAAUGCAUGUUGUGUCAAAGCAAUUACAAAUGACUAUAGUCAUGUGAACAACUGACCUAAUGUUCAUAUACAUAGUCAUAUAUAGUUUGACCAAGUUUAAUAGUCAUUCGACAAUUGUGCCAAAGCAAUUGAGAAAAACUGUGUGUAGAGAGAAGAAAGA